rnacentral:tRNA from 2 species
GGGCGGUUAGCUCAGUUGGGAGAGCGCAGCGUUCGCAAUGCUGAGGUCGGGGGUUCAAAUCCCCUACCGUCCACCA